UUGGGCACCCCUGCUUUAUUUCAUAAUAUAUAUGAUAAAAGCAAUGAUCAAACAUGUAACAGUUUUCAUUUAAUUUUGUAGAAUUGUUGGUAUUUAAAUGGUAUGUGAAGUCAGACAUCAUGAUCAACAUCUGUUCCUGGAUGAACAUCAUUUGUUAGUUCUGGAACAUUCAUUGUGUGUGCUAAAGAAACUCUUGUCAUAAACUUCAGCACAAAUAAUAGGGAAAUUAUAGGUUGAUAAGAAUGCUGAAUCUUUCUGCAAGUUACAGUCCUGAUCCUAAAGCAAACAUGACUUUGAUAACCGUCAUUAUUUGGACACUCACCACCUGCACCUGGAGUUCUGUGGGGCAGAUUGUGACUC